AACCUCCGCAAUGUGAGAAAUCGCGACGGGGGGAUCCCAAGUGCCAUUCUUAACGGGAUGGCUUUUCAUUAGUGUAAAGAGCUUUUGGAAUAAGAGCUGGGCAAGACCGGUGCCAGCCGCCGCGGUAACACCGGCAGCUCUAGUGGUAGCAAUUUUUAUUGGGCCUAAAGCGUCCGUAGCCGGUUUAAUAAGUCUCUGGUGAAAUCCUGUAGCUUAACUGUGGGAAUUGCUGGAGAUACUAUUAGACUUGAGAUCGGGAGAGGUUAGAGGUACUCCCAGGGUAGAGGUGAAAUUCUGUAAUCCUGGGAGGACCGCCUGUUGCGAAGGCGUCUAACUGGGACGAUUCUGACGGUGAGGGACGAAAGUUAGGGGCGCGAACCGGAUUAGAUACCCGGGUAGUCCUAACUGUAAACGAUGCGGACUUGGUGUUGGGGUGGCUUUGAGCUGCUCCAGUGCCGAAGGGAGCUGUUAAGUCCGCCGCCUGGGAGGUACGGUCGCAAGACUGAAACUUAAAGGAAUU
rnacentral:rRNA from 1 species